rnacentral:rRNA from 1 species
UACGUAGGGGGCAAGCGUUGUCCGGAAUUAUUGGGCGUAAAGAGCGCGUAGGCGGUCCGAUAAGUCGGCUGUGAAAGUCCAGGGCUCAACCCUGGAAAGCCGGCCGAUACUGUCGGACUAGAGUCCGGAAGAGGCAAGUGGAAUUCCUGGUGUAGCGGUGAAAUGCGCAGAUAUCAGGAGGAACACCGGUGGCGAAGGCGGGUCUCUGGGCCGAUACUGACGCUGAGGAGCGAAAGCGUGGGGAGCGAACAGG